rnacentral:rRNA from 1 species
AUGCAGUCGAGGGGCAGCAUGGUCUAGCAAUAGACUGAUGGCGACCGGCGCACGGGUGAGUAACACGUAUCCAACCUACCGGCUAUUCCGGGAUAGCCUUUCGAAAGAAAGAUUAAUACCGGAUAGUAUAGCGAGAAGGCAUCUUCUUGCUAUUAAAGAAUUUCGAUAACCGAUGGGGAUGCGUUCCAUUAGUUUGUUGGCGGGGUAACGGCCCACCAAGACAUCGAUGGAUAGGGGUUCUGAGAGGAAGGUCCCCCACAUUGGAACUGAGACACGGUCCAAACUCCUACGGGAGGCAGCAGUGAGGAAUAUUGGUCAAUGGACGAGAGUCUGAACCAGCCAAGUAGCGUGAAGGAUGACUGCCCUAUGGGUUGUAAACUUCUUUUAUAUGGGAAUAAAGUGAGCCACGUGUGGCUUUUUGUAUGUACCAUACGAAUAAGGAUCGGCUAACUCCGUGCCAGCAGCCGCGGUAAUACGGAGGAUCCGAGCGUUAUCCGGAUUUAUUGGGUUUAAAGGGAGCGUAGGCGGACUAUUAAGUCAGCUGUGAAAGUUUGCGGCUCAACCGUAAAUUGCAGUUGAUACUGGUCGUCUUGAGUGCAGU